rnacentral:other from 1 species
GCAACCCUGCUGUGUGCGUAAAAUGGUCUCGAUGUUUUGAACCAACAUCUUUUACAUUGGGAGUCUGGGCUUCGUGAGCGUAAAACAACGCCUGGCACAGGACUGUUGGAACUCAUGAGAGGACACCCACCUGCUUAGGCAGGCUCAAAACUCGGUUUAUAAACGGCAUGGUGGGGCUUCU